rnacentral:rRNA from 1 species
AGAAACCCAUCCUGGUCUCUGGGAUAACAGUCGGAAACAACUGCUAAUACCGGAUGCCGUCGGAGCGCUGCAUGGCGCACUGACGAAAGGGUUACUGGAUCAGGAGGGUCUCGCGGCCUAUCAGCUUGUUGGUGGGGUAAUGGCCUACCAAGGCAUCGACGGGUAGCUGGUCUGAGAGGACGAUCAGCCACACUGGGACUGAGACACGGCCCAG